AGUGAACGCUGGCGGUAGGCCUAACACAUGCAAGUCGAACGGCAGCACAGUAAGAGCUUGCUCUUACGGGUGGCGAGUGGCGGACGGGUGAGGAAUACAUCGGAAUCUACUUUUUCGUGGGGGAUAACGUAGGGAAACUUACGCUAAUACCGCAUACGACCUACGGGUGAAAGCAGGGGAUCUUCGGACCUUUCGCGAUUGAAUGAGCCGAUGUCGGAUUAGCUAGUUGGGGGGGUAAAGGCCCACCAAGGCGACGAUGCGUAGCUGGUCUGAGAGGAUGAUCAGCCACACUGGAACUGAGACACGGUCCAGACUCCUACGGGAGGCAGCAGUGGGGAAUAUUGGACAAUGGGCGCAAGCCUGAUCCAGCCAUACCGCGUGGGUGAAGAAGGCCUUCGGGUUGUAAAGCCCUUUUGUUGGGAAAGAAAAGCAGCAGAUUAAUACCCCGCUGUUCUGACGGUACCCAAAGAAUAAGCACCGGCUAACUUCGUG
rnacentral:rRNA from 1 species